GCUUACGGCCAUACCACCCUGAACGCCGAUCUCGUCCGAUCUCGGAAGCUAAGCAGGGUCGGGCCUGGUUAGUACUUGGAUGGGAGACCGCCUGGGAAUACCAGGUGCUGUAAGCU
rnacentral:rRNA from 1 species